rnacentral:rRNA from 1 species
GUCAUUUAGAGGAAGUAAAAGUCGUAACAAGGUUUCUGUAGGUGAACCUGCAGAAGGAUCAUUAGUGAAGAUUUGGGCAGGCCAUACGGACGCCACAAAGUGUCCCUGGCCGCCUACACCCACUAUACAUCCACAAACCCGUGUGCACUGUCCUUGGAAAGGGCAUUUGGAGAGAAAAAGAAAGAGAAGCGAGAGCAGUGCGAUCCGUCGCGUUGGGCGUUUUCUCUGACUUGGUCUCUCUGAGGCCCUUUCCUUGCUACAAACUCGAAUGGUUAGUAUGAACGUGGAACUUGGUUGGACCGUCACUGGCCAACAAACUAUACACAACUUUCGACAACGGAUCUCUUGGUUCUCCCAUCGAUGAAGAACGCAGCGAAACGCGAUAGGUAAUGUGAAUUGCAGAAUUCCGUGAAUCAUCGAAUCUUUGAACGCACCUUGCGCUCUAUGGCAAUCCGUAGAGCAUGCCUGUUUGAGUGCCAUGAAAUCUCCCACCCCAAGCGGUUUUUACAUGAAACGGCUUGGCGGAUGGGGUCUGGAUGGGUGCCUCUGCCUGCGCUACCUAGCACAGGCUCGCCCGAAAUGCAUGAGCGCCUUGAGACACUUUGCAUCCGCCUCUCUGUUUGGGAGGAGGCGGCCAAGCAGUGUUUUUCUCCUGGCAUGGCAUGAUACGUCAUUUGCUAUGUCGCCUAAAGGAGGAAUGUUUGGUUGUGUCUGCGUGUGCUUCGAACUUGCCUCUGUGGCACAUCCCAAUUUCACUUCUGGUCUCAAAUCAGGUAGGAUCACCCGCUGAACUUAAGCAUAUCAAUAAGCGGA